rnacentral:lncRNA from 12 species
GUUAAUCUUAUAAUACAUUUAAUUUUUUUUAUAAAUGAGUUUUUAAGAAUAUUUUAUUAAUAUUACAUUAUAAUUCUAAAAAAAUGGUCUUAAUAGGCUUUCUUCAUAAAUGUAUAACUAAUAACUAAUUUUCAUUUCAGCUGAUGUCAUUAGUCCCGCUUAUUUAUCAACAAAAGCACUUUCACCAUUAAUCAGCUCAUCGUGAAGAUUUUUUUUCACACACUGAACACGCUGUUUAACUUGGAAAUGCUUCACAUUAAAAGUCCACUACGUAACUUUUAUUCCUCUAGCUAGCGGUUAAAAUACAAGAAAAGUAACUCGCGGAGGAAGAUUGUUUUGCUCGUCACGUGAGUUGUGCUUCGGCGCGGACGAAUCUAAUGUUUUGAGGCGCCGCGCUGAUCGUGAUUACAGAUUUUAUCGGCGGGAAUUUAAGUCACGACAACAAACUGAAACGAACGAAAGAUAUCUGAAAAUAUGUCUUAUGAACAGAACAGACCAGAAACACGUCUCUCCCUCAUGGCCCGGUUUCUCGUGAUCAGGGAACAAACUUCAUCAUGUAAUCUAGUUGCCAGUCAGUUGCUACAGCAGAUCGAGCUGUUUGAGCAGCACAUGGCUUUUCCAUUAGCCACUCAGACCGAACUCCUCCGUCAGGCCUUUCCUCUCAUUUUCCUGUCUGGCAUUCGGGAUCCGCAGAGACUCUUCUGUCAUCUACAUGAAGCUAAUUUAGCCUCCGUCUAACGCACGGCUGUCCGUCCGACCCGAGGGACGCCCGGAGAAUUCCAGUAACCCAGUAGCGAGACCCACCCACCAUCUCUCACACACACACACACACACACACACACACACACACAUACAUUCUGGAGUGGUGGAUCCAUUAAAGGAUUUAUUUCCAGGCGAGGCCAGUCCUGCCGAGAUGAUCACUCACAUCUCUUCACAAGCGACGCAUUGAUUCACUUUGCUUUCCAUUACAGUUCAGAGAGAGAAAAACUAACAUCAGAAACUUAAGGUGAAGAAAAGGUCAUAAUGAGGGAGAUAUUUUCUUACUCAGUAUUUUUGUCUUGUUUUCCUGUACAAAUAUCUCAACAUUCCUAAAUCAAAAUACAUUUACCUUAUUAUUAUUAUUAUUAUUAUUAUUAUUAUUAUUAUUGUGCAUACACAGUUUAUUUAUUUAUAUUUAAUUAUUUUUGAAUAAAAUUUUAUUAAUUGAACAUCCCUAAAGCCAAAUACAUUUACCUUAUUAUUAUUUUCAUAUUAUUGUGUGUGCAUAUAUAUACAUACAUACAUACAUACAUACAGUGCUGUGAAAAGGUUUUUGCCCCCUUCCUGUUUUUUUUUAUUUUUAUUUUUUGCAUAUUUGUCACACUUAAAAGAUUCAGAUCAUCAAACUAAUUUUAAUAUUACACAAAGAUAAUGCAAGUAAAUACAAAAUGCAGUUUUUAAAUAAUGAAAUAAUGAUGGGAAAAAAGCUGUCUAAACCUGCCUGGCACUAUGUGAAAAAGUAAUUGCCCCCUCCUGUUAAAUCAUGAAAGAACUG